rnacentral:rRNA from 1 species
GACGAACGCUGGCGGCGUGCUUAACACAUGCAAGUCGAACGAUGAAGCCGGAGCUUGCUCUGGUGAAUUAGUGGCGAACGGGUGAGUAACACGUGAGUAACCUGCCCUUGACUCUGGGAUAACUGCUAGAAAUGGUAGCUAAUACUGGAUAGGACCUUGCACCGCAUGGGGUGGGGUGGAAAGUUUUUCGGUCUGGGAUGGACUCGCGGCCUAUCAGCUUGUUGGUGAGGUAAUGGCUCACCAAGGCGUCGACGGGUAGCCGGCCUGAGAGGGUGACCGGCCACACUGGGACUGAGACACGGCCCAGACUCCUACGGGAGGCAGCAGUGGGGAAUAUUGCACAAUGGGCGCAAGCCUGAUGCAGCAACGCCGCGUGCGGGAUGACGGCCUUCGGGUUGUAAACCGCUUUUAGUAAGGAAGAAGGGGCCUUUGGGUCUUGACGGUACUUGCAGAAAAAGGACCGGCUAACUACGUGCCAGCCGCCGCAGUAA